UUGGAGGGCAAGUCUGGUGCCAGCAGCCGCGGUAAUUCCAGCUCCAAUAGCGUAUAUUAAAGUUGUUGCAGUUAAAAAGCUCGUAGUUGAAUUUCGGGAUCAAUUUAUCGGUCGUGCCUACGGUAUGAACUGGUACAAUUGGUUUCUCCCUUCUGACGAAGCAUGAUGUCAUUAAUUUGGUGUCGUGGGGAAUCAGGACUGUUACUUUGAAAAAAUUAGAGUGUUUAAAGCAAGCAUUAGCUUGAAUACAUUAGCAUGGAAUAAUGAAAUAGGACGUUUGAUCCUAUUUCGUUGGUUUCUAGGAUCGACGUAAUGAUUAAUAGGGAUAGUUGGGGGCAUUAGUAUUCAAUUGUCAGAGGUGAAAUUCUUGGAUUUAUUGAAGACUAACUACUGCGAAAGCAUUUGCCAAGGAUGUUUUCAUUAAUCAAGAACGAAAGUUAGGGGAUCGAAGACGAUCAGAUACCGUCGUAGUCCUAACCAUAAACUAUGCCGACUAGGGAUCGGAUGAUGUUAAUUUUUUAAUGACUCAUUCGGCGCCUUACGGGAAAC
rnacentral:rRNA from 1 species